rnacentral:rRNA from 1 species
UACGGAGGGUGCAAACGUUGUUCGGAAUCACUGGGCAUAAAGCGUACGUAGGCGGCGUCGUAAGUGUCGGAUGAAAUCCCACGGCUUACCCGUGGAACGGUACGGCAUACUGCGGUGCUAGAGGAUGGUAGAGGAGAGUGGAAUUCCUGGUGUAGCGGUGAAAUGCGCAGAUAUCAGGAAGAACACCUAUGGCGAAGGCAGCUCUCUGGGACGGUACUGACGCUGAGACGCGAAAGCGUGGGGAGCGAACAGG